UCCAAUAUGAGUAAAUAUUUUCCGGAACACACUAAAACUAGUACGUCAAUUUGUGGCGUAUACACAAGUAUUAAAAGUUGUCAAAAAACCAUUAUCCGGCGCUUGUACCCCGGUACACAGAAAUAUCGGCCAUAGCCGAUUAAUCGGCCGAUUAUUUUUUUAUAUCGGCUCCGAUAUAUCGGAUCGGCGAAUCGGCUUUUUUCUGGUAUCGGCUCAUCCCUAGUA